GGACGACAUUAGACGAAUCAUCUGGAAAGAUGAAUCAAAGAAGGUAAUAAUCCUGUAGUCGAAAAUGUUGUCUCUCUUGAGUGGAUCCUGAGUACGACGGAGCACGUGAAAUUCCGUCGGAAUCUGGGAGGACCAUCUCCUAAGGCUAAAUACUCUCUAGUGACCGAUAGUGAACCAGUACCGUGAGGGAAAGGUGAAAAGCACCCCGGAAGGGGAGUGAAAUAGAACCUGAAACCGUGUGCUUACAAGUAGUCAGAGCCCGUUAAUGGGUGAUGGCGUGCCUUUUGUAGAAUGAACCGGCGAGUUACGAUUUGAUGCAAGGUUAAGCAGUAAAUGUGGAGCCGUAGCGAAAGCGAGUCUGAAUAGGGCGUUUAGUAUUUGGUCGUAGACCCGAAACCAGGUGAUCUACCCUUGGUCAGGUUGAAGUUCAGGUAACACUGAAUGGAGGACCGAACCGACUUACGUUGAAAAGUGAGCGGAUGAACUGAGGGUAGCGGAGAAAUUCCAAUCGAACCUGGAGAUAGCUGGUUCUCUCCGAAAUAGCUUUAGGGCUAGCCUCAAGUGAUGAUUAUUGGAGGUAGAGCACUGUUUGGACGAGGGGCCCCUCUCGGGUUACCGAAUUCAGACAAACUCCGAAUGCCAAUUAAUUUAACUUGGGAGUCAGAACAUGGGUGAUAAGGUCCGUGUUCGAAAGGGAAACAGCCCAGACCACCAGCUAAGGUCCCAAAAUAUAUGUUAAGUGGAAAAGGAUGUGGCGUUGCCCAGACAACUAGGAUGUUGGCUUAGAAGCAGCCAUCAUUUAAAGAGUGCGUAAUAGCUCACUAGUCGAGUGACACUGCGCCGAAAAUGUACCGGGGCUAAACAUAUUACCGAAGCUGUGGAUUGUCCUUUGGACAAUGGUAGGAGAGCGUUCUAAGGGCGUUGAAGCAUGAUCGUAAGGACAUGUGGAGCGCUUAGAAGUGAGAAUGCCGGUGUGAGUAG
rnacentral:rRNA from 1 species